ensembl:snoRNA SNORD33 Small nucleolar RNA Z195/SNORD33/SNORD32 family
GCAGCCUAUGAUGAAGCGAUCUCCCACUGGUGUUCGAGUUUCCCAACUAUGAGACAACUCUACAUGCACUACCAUCUGAGGCUGG